rnacentral:rRNA from 1 species
GUGAAACCGCGAAUGGCUCAUUAAAUCACACUUUAUGUACUGGACAGUAACACAGUUACUUGGAUAACUGCGGUAAUUCUGGAGCUAAUACAUGCAUACAAUCCUCAUUUGCUUUGCAAAAGAGGUGCAACUAUUAGACCAAAACCAAACGGUUUCGGCCGUCUUUGGUGAUUCUGGAUAGUGUCGGUCGAUCGCAUGGCUUCACGCCGGCGACGUGUCCAUCUAAAGUGUGCCCUAUCAACUAUCGACUGUGGCAUAGACGACCACAGUGGUAGUGACGGGUAACGGGGAAUCAGGGUUCGAUUCCGGAGAGGGAGCCUGAGAAACGGCUACCACUUCUAAGGGAGGCAGCAGGCACGCAAAUUACCCAAUGGCCGAUGGCCGAGGUAGUGACGAAAAAUAACGAUGCCGGACUCUUUUGAGGCCCGGCAAUCGGAAUGAGUACAACUCAAAUCCUUUAACGAGGAUCAAUUGGAGGGCAAGUCUGGUGCCAGCAGCCGCGGUAAUUCCAGCUCCAAAAGCGUAUAUUAAAGUUGUUGUUGUUAAAAAGCUCGUAGUUGGAUCUUGGCGAGAAAUGACCGGCUCGUUGUCAUGACGUUGCCGGUCUACACACUCGCGAUGAUUGGCAAAGGUUCGUAGAUGCUCUUAAUCGAGUGUCUGCGGAUUGUGCCAGUUUUACUUUGAAAAAAUUAGAGUGCUCAAAGCAGGCCUGACACGCCUGAAUAUUUGUGCAUGAAAUAAUGGAAUAGGACGUCGUUCCUAUUUUGUUGGUUUUCGGGAACCGACGUAAUGAUUAACAGGGACAGUCGGGGGCAUUGGUAUUCAGACGUCAGAGGUGGAAUUCUUGGACCGUCUGAAGACUAACAACUGCGAAAGCAUUUGCCAAGAAUGUUUUCAUUAAUCAAGAACGAAAGUUAGAGGUUCGAAGGCAAUCAGAUACCGCUGUAGUUCUAACCAUAAACGAUGCCAGCUAGCGAUCUGCAAUUGUCGUUGUUCAAGACGCUGCAGGCAGCUCCCGGGAAACCAAAGCUUCUGGAUUCAAGGGGGAGUAUGGUUGCAAAGCUGAAACUUAAAGGAAUUGACGGAAAGGCACCACCAGGAGUGGAGCCUGCGGCUUAAUUUGACUCAACACGGGAAAUCUCACCAGGUCCGGACACUAGAAGGAUUGACAGAUUGAUAGCUCUUUCUUGAUUCAGUGGAUUGUGGUGCAUGGCCGUUCUUAGUUGGUAAAGUGAUUUGUCUGGUUAAGUCCGAUAACGAACGAGACUCUGCCCUACUAAAUAGAUG